rnacentral:rRNA from 1 species
GACGAACGCUGGCGGCGUGGAUUAGGCAUGCAAGUCGAACGGUAUCAUCCUUUCGGGGGUGAGAGAGUGGCGAACUGGUGAGUAACACGUAGGUUAUCUACCCUCAAGACGGGGACAACCCAGGGAAACUUGGGCUAAUACCGGAUGUGAGCAACUUUUAGUUGUUUGAAAGGUGGCGUAAGCUGUCGCUUGGGGAUGAGCCUGCGUCCUAUUAGUUAGUUGGUGAGGUAACGGCUCACCUAGGCAAUGAUAGGUAGGCGGCCUUAACGGGUGGUCGCCCACACUGGGAUUGAGAUACGGCCCAGACUCCUACGGGAGGCAGCAGUCGAGAAUAGUCUACAAUGGUCGGAAGACUGAUAGUGCGACGCCGCGUGAACGAUGAAUCCCUUCGGGGUGUAAAGUUCUUUUAUAUGUGAGCAGUGCUUCUUAUAUUAACAGUAUGGGGAGAGAGAUAUUAGCAUAUGAAUAAGCAACAGCUAACUCCGUGCCAGCAGCCGCGGUAAAAA